AUCCAGCUGACCAGUCCCAAAUAGGACGAAACGUGCAUCAAACUGGAU
rnacentral:hammerhead_ribozyme from 1 species